GUGCUAACUUCGCUAGCACAUGUACUAAAGUUAAAACAAUACAGAGAUUAACAUGCCCCCUGCUCAAGGGUCACAGGCAAAUCUGUGGCUGCUGAGUAUCUGU
ensembl:snRNA U6 U6 spliceosomal RNA